rnacentral:rRNA from 1 species
CCUACGGGAGGCAGCAGUGAGGAAUAUUGGUCAAUGGCCGUAAGGCUGAACCAGCCAAGUAGCGUGAGGGAAGACUGCCCUAUGGGUUGUAAACCUCUUUUAUACGGGGAUAAAGGUGUCCACGUGUGGGUGUUUGCAUGUACCGCAUGAAUAAGGACCGGCUAAUUCAGUGCCAGCAGCCGCGGUAAUACGGAAGGUCCGGGCGUUAUCCGGAUUUAUUGGGUUUAAAGGGAGCGUAGAUGGGUUGUUACGCAUGUUGUGAAAUUUUGCGGCUCAACCGUAAAAUUGCAAGUGAUACUGGCAGUCUUGAGUACAGUUAAGGUAGGCGGAAUUCGUGGUGUAGCGGUGAAAUGCUUAGAUAUGACGAAGAACCCCGAUUGCGAAGGCAGCUUACUAAAGUGUGACUGACAUUGAUGCUCGAAAGUGUGGGUAUCAAACAGGAUUAGAUACCCUAGUAGUC